rnacentral:rRNA from 1 species
UACAGAGGUCUCGAGCGUUAGGCGGAAUCACUGGGCUUAAAGCGUGUGUAGGCGGAUCGGUAAGUACCUUGUGAAAUCCCACAGCUUAACUGUGGAACUGCUUGGUAUACUGCCAGUCUUGAGCCAGUUAGGGGCUACCGGAACAAAUGGUGGAGCGGUGAAAUGCGUAGAUAUCAUUUGGAACGCCAAUGGUGAAAACAGGUAGCUGGGGCUGUGCUGACGCUGAGACACGAAAGCCAGGGGAGCAAACGGG